rnacentral:rRNA from 1 species
UACGUAGGGGGCGAGCGUUGUCCGAAGUUACUGGGCGUAAAGCGCGCGUAGGCGGGUUGGCAAGUCUGCUGUGAAAGCCCGGGGCUUAACUCCGGAGGGUCGGUGGAUACUGCCAGUCUUGAAGGUGCUAGGGAGAGAUGGAAUUACCGGUGUAGCGGUGAAAUGCGUAGAUAUCGAUAGGAACACCAGUGGCGAAGACGGUCUCUUGGGGCAUUCUUGACGCUGAGGCGCGAAAGCUGGGGGAGCGAACGGG